CGCUGGGAAGAGAAGAGGGCCCAGCCCAGAGCCACCUGGAUCUAUCCCUGCGGCCUCCACACCUGAACUUGCCUAACUAACUGGCAGGGGAGACAGGAGCCUAGCGGAGCCCAGCCUGGGAGCCCAGAGGGUGGCAAGAACAGUGGGCGUUGGGAGCCUAGCUCCUGCCACAUGGAGCCCCCUCUGCCGGUCGGGCAGCCAGCAGAGGGGGAGUAGCCAAGCUGCUUGUCCUGGGCCUGCCCCUGUGUAUUCACCACCAAUAAAUCAGACCAUGAA
rnacentral:lncRNA from 1 species